CAAAGUAAGAUACGUUGCAUCUAGAGGCAAGAAUAGCAGUUUCAUCAAGUUUGGAUGGUUUUCUUUUUUCUUCUUUUUACCAAGCAUUUUUUUCGGCAAUCCUUCAAAAUAAUCAAAACACUAGUUC
rnacentral:ribozyme from 14 species